GAUGAACGCUGGCGGCGUGCCUAAUACAUGCAAGUCGAGCGAACAGACGAGGAGCUUGCUCCUCUGACGUUAGCGGCGGACGGGUGAGUAACACGUGGAUAACCUACCUAUAAGACUGGGAUAACUUCGGGAAACCGGAGCUAAUACCGGAUAAUAUAUUGAACCGCAUGGUUCAAUAGUGAAAGACGGUUUUGCUGUCACUUAUAGAUGGAUCCGCGCCGCAUUAGCUAGUUGGUAAGGUAACGGCUUACCAAGGCAACGAUGCGUAGCCGACCUGAGAGCGUGAUCAGCCACACAGGACCUGAGGCACGGUCCAGGCUCCUACGGGAGGCAGCAGUAGGGAAUCUUCCGCGAUGGGCGAAAGCCUGACGGAGCAACGCCGCGUGAGUGAUGAAGGUCUUCGGAUCGUAAAACUCUGUUAUUAGGGAAGAACAAAUGUGUAAGUAACUAUGCACGUCUUGACGGUACCUAAUCAGAAGGCCACGGCUAGCUACGUG
rnacentral:rRNA from 1 species